rnacentral:rRNA from 1 species
CUACGGGAGGCUGCAGUGAGGAAUAUUGCACAAUGGGGGGAACCCUGAUGCAGCAACGCCGCGUGGAGGAUGACGCAUUUCGGUGUGUAAACUCCUUUUAUAUGUCAAGAAAAUGACGGUAGCAUAUGAAUAAGCACCGGCUAACUCCGUGCCAGCAGCCGCGGUAAUACGGAGGGUGCAAGCGUUACUCGGAAUCACUGGGCGUAAAGGACGCGUAGGCGGGUUGGAAAGUCAGGUGUGAAAUCCUACAGCUUAACUGUAGAACUGCACUUGAAACUUCUAAUCUAGAGUAUGGGAGGGGGAGAUGGAAUUAGUGGUGUAGGGGUAAAAUCCGUAGAUAUCACUAGGAAUACCUAAAGCGAAGGCGAUCUCCUGGAACAUUACUGACGCUAAAGCGUGGAAGCGUGGGGAGCAAACAGGAUUAGAUACCCUUGUAGUC